rnacentral:lncRNA from 1 species
GAAUAUUUAGACAUUGUAAAAUUCAUGUGCAAAUGUCUGCCUUAUUAUUUAAAAAAAUUGACAUUUUUGCAAUUGAUUAUAGUAUUGUUGUGAAAUGUUUAUUUGUGGAUUGAUAUCCCAUAAAUUGUGAUAAUUCCGUAUUUUUGAAUUUUUAUAAGAGUUUUUCUAUACAUAUUAAAUUGGCAAUUAUGCUAGAAUGCCUUUACAAACUGCUACCUUUCUAAAUUUGAGCCCAAAAUAUUUGAUUGGUUAUUUUUGAAAUGUUAGAGAGUGACUGUUAUUAAUGGUUUAAGUGAAAUUCAUAUUAAUGAUUUUAGUGAUAUGUUGAGUACAUGAUAUUGCUGCUUUCGAAUGUUUAAAGAGAUUUAGA